rnacentral:piRNA from 1 species
AACAAUUAUGAGCCUUACACU